GACGAACGCUGGCGGCGUGCUUAACACAUGCAAGUCGAACGGAAAGGCCCCCACUUUUUUGGUGGGGGUGCUCGAGUGGCGAACGGGUGAGUAACACGUGGGUGAUCUGCCCUGUACUUCGGGAUAAGCUUGGGAAACUGGGUCUAAUACCGGAUAGGACCAUGGUUUAGUGUCUCAUGGUGGAAAAAUUAUUGUUUUGGUGCAGGAUGAGCUCGCGGCCUAUCAGCUUGUUGGUGGGGUAAUGGCCUACCAAGGCGUCGACGGGUAGCCGGCCUGAGAGGGUGGACGGCCACAUUGGGACUGAGAUCCGGCCCAGACUCCUACGGGAGGCAGCAGUGGGGAAUAUUGCACAAUGGGCGCAAGCCUGAUGCAGCGACGCCGCGUGGGGGAUGACGGCCUUCGGGUUGUAAACUCCUUUCGUUAGGGACGAAGCCGCACCUUUUUUGGGUGUGGUGACGGUACCUUUGUUAAGAAGCACCGGCUAACUACGUG
rnacentral:rRNA from 1 species